rnacentral:rRNA from 1 species
GAUGAACGCUGGCGGCGUGCCUAAUACAUGCAAGUAGAACGCUGAAGGAGGAGCUUGCUCUUCUGGAUGAGUUGCGAACGGGUGAGUAACGCGUAGGUAACCUGCCUGGUAGCGGGGGAUAACUAUUGGAAACGAUAGCUAAUACCGCAUGACAACAGUUAUUGCAUGAUAACUGUUUAAAAGGGGCAACUGCUCCACUACCAGAUGGACCUGCGUUGUAUUAGCUAGUUGGUGAGGUAACGGCUCACCAAGGCGACGAUACAUAGCCGACCUGAGAGGGUGAUCGGCCACACUGGGACUGAGACACGGCCCAGACUCCUACGGGAGGCAGCAGUAGGGAAUCUUCGGCAAUGGACGGAAGUCUGGCCGAGCAACGCCGCGUGAGUGAAGAAGGUUUUCGGAUCGUAAAGCUCUGUUGUAAGAGAAGAACGAGUGUGAGAGUGGAAAGUUCACACUGUGACGGUAGCUUACCAGAAAGGGACGGCUAACUACGUG